AUAUCAGUCAUGCAUAGCAUAUCAAUAAGCGGAGGAAAAGAAACUAACAAGGAUUCCCUUAGUAACGGCGAGUGAAGCGGGAAGAGCUCAAAUUUGAAAUCUUCAAGGUUCUACCUUGACGAAUUGUAGUUUAUAGAAGUGUUUUCUGUUAGUAGGAGUGGCAAAAGUUCUUUGGAAUAGGACAUCAUAGAGGGUGAGAAUCCCGUAUUUGGUCAUUCCUUCCUAGCUUUGUGAUACACUUUCAACGAGUCGGAUUGUUUGGGAAUGCAGUCCAAAAUGGGUGGUAAAUUUCAUCUAAAGCUAAAUAUUGGCGAGAGACCGAUAGCGAACAAGUACCGUGAGGGAAAGAUGAAAAGAACUUUGAAAAGAGAGUUAAACAGUACGUGAAAUUGUCAAAAGGGAAGCGUUUGACACCAGUGUUGUUUUUCCGAAAAUCAAUUACGAAUGUUUUGUUUUUAAGAAGUUAUGACUUCAUCGGCUUGCUUCUUUCUUUAUGAAACUUUCUUAAUGCACUUUUCGAUUAACAAGUCAACAUCAAUUUCUUUUGUUGUAAAAGGGUAUAAGGAAGGUGGCUUUCUUUUCGGAGAAAGUGUUUAUAGCCUUGUGCCUCUGCAAUCGGAGAGAUUGAGGACAGCAGCGUAGACUCUUCGGGGUUAGAUACACUUGUGCUAAGCUGUAUAGCUUGUCAUAGACAACUUGUUGACUAUGUUCAGUCAUUGUAGCUUACUCGCUUAGUGCUAUUUUACCUACGCUUAGGAUGUUGAUCUCUCACAGUCGAGC
rnacentral:rRNA from 1 species